rnacentral:sRNA from 1 species
CCGCCUCAGCCUCCCAAAGUGCUGGGAUUACAGGUGUGAGCCACCGCACCUGGGCUCCUGUAAUGAACUAUUAUAAACACCACCACCUGUGCUCACUGGUUCUCUCAGUAUGCUAAUCUAGCAACUGAGUUAAUUCCAAGUCAAACCAUGGGACUGUUUUGCUCCACCCCAACCUCAUAGUGACCUAUCACUCCAGCCUCACCCCUACCCAGAUGUUGAUAGGACCAGGAGAAGCCUUUAGGAAGUGUUAGUAUGUAGUGUGGGGGCUUCAAGCCCAUGAAAGAUUAAAUGAGCUGCAUGCAACUUCUGGUACAGUCAUGAUUGCUAAGGCAAUUUGCUAAUCUGCCCCAUUGGGCGUGUCCUCAGGGCACAUUUGGGAGGUUAUAAUUUGCAACUAUGUUUAUUCAGCUACCUCCAAUCUGCACAGAUCCGAACCCACAACUCCCUGAAGAACAGAAUACUAUGCUUUUUAGUCGGGAGGUCUUUAUGAAAGCAGUGCUCCUAACUGACAUGGUGCGAUAUGAUCUUCUUUUCUUUUCAAUCCCACUGCAGUGAGAAGGCAACCAAAGUGCAGGACAUCAAAAACAACCUGAAAGAGGCGAUUGAAACCAUUGUGGCCGCCAUGAGCAACCUGGUGCCCCCCGUGGAGCUGGCCAACCCCGAGAACCAGUUCAGAGUGGACUACAUUCUGAGUGUGAUGAACGUGCCUGACUUUGACUUCCCUCCCGAAUUCUAUGAGCAUGCCAAGGCUCUGUGGGAGGAUGAAGGAGUGCGUGCCUGCUAUGAACGCUCCAACGAGUACCAGCUGAUUGACUGUGCCCAGUACUUCCUGGACAAGAUCGACGUGAUCAAGCAGGCUGACUACGUGCCGAGCGAUCAGGACCUGCUUCGCUGCCGUGUCCUGACUUCUGGAAUCUUUGAGACCAAGUUCCAGGUGGACAAAGUCAACUUCCACAUGUUUGACGUGGGUGGCCAGCGCGAUGAACGCCGCAAGUGGAUCCAGUGCUUCAACGAUGUGACUGCCAUCAUCUUCGUGGUGGCCAGCAGCAGCUACAACAUGGUCAUCCGGGAGGACAACCAGACCAACCGCCUGCAGGAGGCUCUGAACCUCUUCAAGAGCAUCUGGAACAACAGAUGGCUGCGCACCAUCUCUGUGAUUCUGUUCCUCAACAAGCAAGAUCUGCUCGCUGAGAAAGUCCUUGCUGGGAAAUCGAAGAUUGAGGACUACUUUCCAGAAUUUGCUCGCUACACUACUCCUGAGGAUGCUACUCCCGAGCCCGGAGAGGACCCACGCGUGACCCGGGCCAAGUACUUCAUUCGAGAUGAGUUUCUGAGGAUCAGCACUGCCAGUGGAGAUGGGCGUCACUACUGCUACCCUCAUUUCACCUGCGCUGUGGACACUGAGAACAUCCGCCGUGUGUUCAACGACUGCCGUGACAUCAUUCAGCGCAUGCACCUUCGUCAGUACGAGCUGCUCUAAGAAGGGAACCCCCAAAUUUAAUUAAAGCCUUAAGCACAAUUAAUUAAAAGUGAAACGUAAUUGUACAAGCAGUUAAUCACCCACCAUAGGGCAUGAUUAACAAAGCAACCUUUCCCUUCCCCCGAGUGAUUUUGCGAAACCCCCUUUUCCCUUCAGCUUGCUUAGAUGUUCCAAAUUUAGAAAGCUUAAGGCGGCCUACAGAAAAAGGAAAAAAGGCCACAAAAGUUCCCUCUCACUUUCAGUAAAAAUAAAUAAAAUAACAGCAGCAAACAAAUAAAAUGAAAUAAAAGAAACAAAUGAAAUAAAUAUUGUGUUGUGCAGCAUUAAAAAAAAUCAAAAUAAAAAUUAAAUGUGAGCAAAG